GAUGAACGCUGGCGGCGUGCUUAACACAUGCAAGUCGAACGAAGCACUUUAUUUGAUUUCUUCGGAAUGAAGAUUUUGUGACUGAGUGGCGGACGGGUGAGUAACGCGUGGGUAACCUGCCUCAUACAGGGGGAUAACAGUUGGAAACGACUGCUAAUACCGCAUAAGCGCACAGGGUCGCAUGACCUGGUGUGAAAAACUCCGGUGGUAUGAGAUGGACCCGCGUCUGAUUAGCCAGUUGGUGGGGUAACGGCCUACCAAAGCGACGAUCAGUAGCCGACCUGAGAGGGUGACCGGCCACAUUGGGACUGAGACACGGCCCAAACUCCUACGGGAGGCAGCAGUGGGGAAUAUUGCACAAUGGGGGAAACCCUGAUGCAGCGACGCCGCGUGAGCGAAGAAGUAUUUCGGUAUGUAAAGCUCUAUCAGCAGGGAAGAAGAAAUGACGGUACCUGACUAAGAAGCACCGGCUAA
rnacentral:rRNA from 1 species